AGAGUUUGAUCCUGGCUCAGAUUGAACGCUGGCGGUAUGCUUAACACAUGCAAGUCGAACGGCAGCACAGUAUGUAGCAAUACAUAUGGGUGGCGAGUGGCGGACGGGUGCGUAACGCGUAGGAAUCUACCCUAAAGCGGGGGACAACCCGAGGAAACUCGGGCUAAUACCGCAUAAUCUCGCGAGAGAAAAGCUGGGGCAACCUGGCACUUUAGGAGGAGCCUGCGUCCGAUUAGCUAGUUGGAGAGGUAAAGGCUCACCAAGGCGAUGAUCGGUAGCUGGUCUGAGAGGAUGAUCAGCCACACUGGGACUGAGACACGGCCCAGACUCCUACGGGAGGCAGCAGUGGGGAAUAUUGGACAAUGGGGGCAACCCUGAUCCAGCAAUACCGCGUGUGUGAAGAAGGCCUUCGGGUUGUAAAGCACUUUAGUUGGGGAAGAAGGUAUGCAGUUUAAGAGACAGUAUGCUUGACGGUACCCAAAGAAUAAGCACCGGCUAACUCUGUGCCAGCCGCCGCGGUAAUAC
rnacentral:rRNA from 1 species